GACGAACGCUGGCGGCGCGCCUAACACAUGCAAGUCGAGCGAAGCGGCGAACGGGUGAGUAACGCGUGAGGAACCUGCCUCUCACAACGGGAUAGCCUCGGGAAACCGGGAUUAAUACCGUAUGGUGAGAGAUGGCCUCGCGUCUGAUUAGUUAGUUGGUGGGGUAACGGCCUACCACGACGACGAUCAGUAACCGGCCUGAGAGGGUGAACGGUCAAAGUGGAACGGAGAAACGGUCAAAACUCCUACGGGAGGGAGCAGGGGGGAAUAUUGAACAAGGGAGGGAACUCUGAGGCAGCGACGCCGCGUGAACGAAGAAGGCUUUCGAGUCGUAAAGUGCUUUUAUAUGGGAAGCGGUACCAUAAGAAAAAGCCCCGGCUAACUACGUGCCAGCAGCCGCGGUAAUAC
rnacentral:rRNA from 1 species